AUGAAAUCCCUGAUUGAAGGGGUUGUCGUUGAAUUAUGCAGCAACGCCGGCACCUUGCAGCCCAGGAAGAUAGUGAUCGCGGACUUGGGCUGCUCCACUGGUCCAAAUGCGCUUGCAUUGGUAUCGAUUGCUGUCAAUGCGAUCCACGAUCACUGUCUUCAGUUCCAGCAACCAUCACCAGAAGUGUCUGUGCUCCUCAACGAUCUUCCUGAGAAUGACUUCAACACGGUGGUGAAGAGCCUAGUCACUCUACGUCAAAGCAACGAUCCUGUUGUUGUUACCGGUAUCACACCAGGGUCGUUUUACGAGCGGCUCUUCACUAGUGAAUCUGUGCAUCUUGUUUGCUCGUCCAAUAGCUUACAUUGGCUCUCAAAGGUACGAGUCUGA
rnacentral:rRNA from 1 species